rnacentral:rRNA from 1 species
UACAUGGGGUGCAAACGUUGCUCGGAAUUAUUGGGCGUAAAGCGCACGUAGGCGGUUCGUUAAGUCGGAUGUGAAAGCCCUCGGCUCAACUGAGGAAGUGCACCCGAAACUGGCGAGCUUGAGUACGAAAGAGGAUCGCGGAAUUCCCGGUGUAGAGGUGAAAUUCGUAGAUAUCAGGAGGAACACCUGUGGUGUAGACAGCUUGCUGGACCAUCACUGACGCUGAGGCACGAAAGCGUGGGUAGCAAACAGG